rnacentral:rRNA from 1 species
UACGAAGGGGGCUAGCGUUGUUCGGAAUUACUGGGCGUAAAGCGCACGUAGGCGGAUCGAUCAGUCAGGGGUGAAAUCCCAGAGCUCAACUCUGGAACUGCCUUUGAUACUGUCGAUCUAGAGUAUGGAAGAGGUGAGUGGAAUUCCGAGUGUAGAGGUGAAAUUCGUAGAUAUUCGGAGGAACACCAGUGGCGAAGGCGGCUCACUGGUCCGGUACUGACGCUGAGGUGCGAAAGCGUGGGGAGCAAACAGG